UGCAUGUAUACUUACCGUUCCUUCUUUAUAGUUGUCUUGCUACUAUAGUUUUGUUGCAUGUAUACAUUCAGUUGUUCAUUACAGUAGCGGUAGUUGUACUUUCAUUUAUAUAUAUGUCUCUUUCGUUCAUUAUUAUUGCUACUGUAUUUUCACUGACCCGUACUGUUGUUUAGCUCUUCCUGAUCCGGUGAGUACUCCUCGCCUUCAUCGGCUUGCGGUACCCACUGGGAGGGGAGACAUGUUUACAUGUUCUCACCUCCCCCACUAUUUUUCAGGUAUCACGGGCGAUGAGGAUUGAGAUGAGACGUGAGAUACGUACGUAGCGGUCGAUAGAGCUUCCGACCCAGGUUAUUCGGUUUAGUUUCUACCCUUACUAUUCUGUUGAUAUAGCUUAGAUAGUUUAUAUGGUUCAGUAUUUUUAUUACAUUUGAAAAUGUAGGUUUUCAUGAAUGUAAUAAAUGGAUUUGUGGAUUUUGUGAAAUGAAAAAUAGUUUUCUACCCCGUAAAUAAAAGGUUUUCUACCCCUCGUGGUAGCGCGUUUUAAAAGAAAAAAAUUUUCGUGUGGGAAACAGCUUUCAAAAGGUUUUUCGUAAUUUUCAUAACUUAGUAUUUCAAAACCCGUUUCUGAGUUGGAAACGUUUUAACUGAUAGUUGUGAUUUUAUGUUCAAAUCAUGAAUGUGAACCUGUGGUGAAUGGUGUAUGGAUAUAUAUAUAGAUGUUGGAUGUCUGUAUAUUUAGUGUAGUGGUCGUAUCCUGGUUUGUACUUGUACUUGUGCGACGCCGUGCAAAUACAGAGGAGACUCUGUCCGUGUGAACAGUGGACUCCCUGUAUUUGUGGCGGAUCUGGCAUACCCCGUGGUCAGGUUUUUUUUAAAAAAAAAAAAUUUCGCUGCGUUUUAACCUAAAAGGGAUCUCGGGGCGUGACAUAUUUAGUGUUUGUUCGGCACUAGUUAUCGUUUCUAGUAGAGAGUUUGGUAGAUAAGUACCGGCUAGUUUAGAGCAUACUCAUUGAGGGUACUCAAUUAGUCAAGUACUCAAAUGAAAAAUUCUUUGAGGGCUUGCUUUGCAGACUACCACUCAUAGAGUUGCUGUUAGAGGAGAGAAGUUUUACUCCAAAGCAAUUCCUCAAACAAUAGUGUAAUGGGUUGGGAAUGGCCUAUAUAUUAUGCGCUAUGAGGAUUUUCUUUUAUGAUUGCGAGGUUUUCGCUCCUUAUGAUUUGGUUUGAUAGUAUAUUUUACUUACGAGGUGAUUUUGCCUUAUUUUGAGACCAUAAUACUCGCCAUCAUCAAAAUACUACAAGCUUCUCGAGUGCGUGGAAGAGAUGUGUUUGGCAAGAUAUUUGUGCAUCUCACUUUAUGUAGCAGUUUCGUGUAAAUUCUACAGCUUCAGCAUGUUAUCAACUGUGCUUUUCUUUAUAUAGUUUUGAGUACUUUUUAUAUCUUAACGACUUUGUGUUUAAGAUAGACAUGUGAUAAAUCUGGUGACAUUUAUGUCUUUGAGCCUUUGCUACCACUUUCAUAUUUGCAUGUAGACAAAGAUCCAAGCACUGUAAUGAGUUCAUCAGCUAAUCUUGUCCGAAAUAAGAUUAUAAUUAUUCUUUAAAAAAAUUUUGUUACUAGGAAUAGGAUACCAUAUUGAAAUUUAAUCUAAAGCUGUAAAAAGCAAUACAGGAAAACUUCAUUGUUAUGUAAGAUAAGUCAAUAUUUACAUUUCUUCCUUGUUUGUCUGUUUUCUUUUCAUACUAUUUUUUUAUGGAUAUUUUGAGAAACAACUCAUGUUCUCCUAAAUACAGGAUUUUAUCUGCUAGCCAAAGUGGAAGAAGCUGCAGGUAAACCAAUUUACAAAUGGACUCAUCACAUUGUCAGUGUGGCAUACCCUUAAGCAUCUGUGCGCUGCAAUGGUUCCUAUUGUCUUGACGCUUAUGCUUGCAAAGAGGACUAUGAUUUUUUUCCUUCUAUUUUUCUCUAUACAGUUACCCCUAUACAAAUGGGCUUUACAUUCCAUUCCCUAGAAUUUCUAUUAGGUGAAAAGAUAUACUGAUCCCCUUAACUACACAUUAUUUUGAAUAAGACCUACAACAAUUUGUUGAUCGAUAAGCCCUGCAACUUUUGCUCAUAUCUGUCAUUUUUGUUUGUUGAACUAGGCAUUGCUUCAAAAUAAUGCCUGCCUUAACUCUCAGUGUAAGGACUGAGAUUUUUUGACAGUGCAACUAAACUCUCUGUUGAUGAUGUUUAUGUGUGUAAUUUAAUUACAUAAGCACUCGUCAAGUUUCAGGAGAAACUGAGCUAAAAUGGAGAAGAUACGCGAUUUUUAGUUUUCACUUAAGUGAAUAGUAACUCCGGUUUUCCGGAGAAGCCACGGAGUAGAGUUGGCUUCUGGUGCGUAUCGGACUCCGUUCAUAUCAGUCCAAUAGCUCGUUUCGACCGGUUCAGUUGUUCUGGAACUACUGGCGUUGACGGAUUUUGAGUUUGAUGCACGGAUUUCGAGAAAAUCCAAAAAUACAUGUUUUAUAUGUAUUUNNNNNNNNNNNNNNNNNNNNNNNNNCGGGCUUGGUUGGUUUCCACCGUCGCCGCCGCCAUUUCAACCGGCAUCAGGUGAACCUCGUAAUUCUCACCUCUGCUCCCGGGCCACACCGCAUCGCCUCGAGCCCUCUACGAUUGGAAGCGCGCGCCGCCGUCGCCGCGGAAGCCAAUAACGUUCUAGAAAAGUGGUCUUUUUUCGCCGGGGGAGACAAGCGUAAAAGCUAACUCCACCUGGCUUAUAAGCCUGUGUCCAAUUAGGGCUUGCCCUAAUUUUUUGUGAAUUGGGUACUAAUCCGAGGCUUCCUGGAGUUCCUUUUUCUCGGAUCUACUUACUGAAGGGACACGAUGUGACGUAUGCAAAUUUGAUCAUUAGUUGCUACUCCAUCCUUGUUUUUUUAUAUUCUGGAAAGGUUACUUUCCUACACCUUUUCCAGCGUUUCCUAUGUGUAUCGUUUAAUUUAAGGUGAGAUAGUCUCGCACCAACCGAGUUGUUGAAGCCUUUGCCAUUUUGGAUAACGGCACAUCGUGUUUCUGGUUUCAGUGUGUUAAACUUUUUGCACGUUAAUUCCAAUAUUUAAGGCAUUCGGUCAUCAGCCGACCCAAAACCGUGCUUUCUGUUACAAUCGGUCAAUCCAGUGGUGUAGUCGCAGUAUGUUUCCGACGUUAUACCGAAUAAGAAGGUCCUUUUUGACCGAUUUCUGCCUCCGGAGGCUGGAAGUACCCCGGGUGAUCGUUCGAUCAGUGCUGAUAACUCAGUGCUCACCUUACUUUGGAUCAAACAGAGUACCGGAUUAAGAUUCCUGUUCGACACGAUUUCCCAUUGCGCGCUGUUCGCAGAACCUAUUCGAAUUGCUCCGGCGCUCCAUAGUGAGCCGUUGCGCUUCGGACCUUGAGCACGGCCUCCGGGAUGUCUCUAUCAGCGAAUCGCUUGAUCAGUCGCAGGGCGCAAACGGGUACUAAUAUGCGCGAUACCCUACAAACGUUACGCCUCAGCUCCCAUCACCUGGAACUGAAGCUAAGAGAAUCAUGCGAAUAUCCCAAUUUUGUCACAAAGAGUACGUAAAACAUUUAAUUUCGCGUACUGAACCGAUAUUAGUCUAUAAAAUGAUUAGGAUUUUACGUAAAUGAGGACUUUAUUGCAUGCACCUUGUGGUACCUGUGGCCAGAACGCGUUGGUGGCAGUGUGGGGACUUAGUGAAUUGACUGUCCAAUAUAGCGAAGCCUAUGUUACGGUUUUUGCUCGGAAAUUGAAAACGCUCUAGAGAUUUUCGUGCCGCUUGCGUUUUUCGGGCGAAAUUCGCCGAAAGACGCGGAGGAUAUCUCAGUUGAUUUCUUAUCAUCCGACAUGGUUUGGUUUCCUUAUAGAAUUUAGUUGUUGUUAGCCUUGGAUUGGAUGGUGUCACCAGUCAUGAUUUUGUACGGGUUCCACGAUGCGACCAACGGUUUGCCAGUGAAAUAGGCCUGCCGUGAGCUACGGUGGAGCUACGGUGUUUGGAUCACUCUGUGUGUCGAAAUAGGCUCUAUAUCACGAGACCCGGGAUCCUAAUUGGCUCAAGCGCCCGUAUCAAUAUUAAUUGACCAGUCUUAGCAAGUACUAGACCAAUGUAUAGAAAUAGGCGACAAUACAUUGUUUUGAGUUAUAGGUUCCAUCUCGUGUUUGCUGUCCAAGACAUCCAUAAUUGGAGUGUUUAAUACUGGCAACAAUCGUCCGGCCUAACAAGGAAAUGCUGGGCCACCGGCGGAUGACUCGCUAGCACAGAACGGGGCCCGGUGUUCAUGGGUACAAAAAUUUUCGGGACCUUUUAAUGAACCUGCGUUACCACCGCACGGAUCCCGGUUCGCUGGAUAAAUGGCCUUGGUCGUGAAGCUCGUACACCUCCGGAGGUUAGCUUAUAUUAACCAUGCGUAUGGGAACGUUUUUCUGUACACGGUGGCAUAUGACAGGUUUGUUUGUGAGUGGUAGCUGGAUUUCCAGUGAAAGUUAAUUCACGUUGUGCGGUUAGACACAUAAGCGCGGUGGACUUUCCUUAGCGUCCGUGUGACAUCCUUUUGCAGUCAGAAACAGGCGCGACAUUCGUACAGGUGCGGUACUUCGAUCGACGUCAGUUUAUAGUCGUGCCGCUCGGUGAUGGUUUCUUACCAAUUACUCUGCUGUGUUACUAUUGCAUAGUAUUAAUAUGAGCCUGCACCCAUGUAUUCUAUUAUACUCGACUCCGUUCUUUUGCAAUGCCUUAGUGUUCAGAGUUAGGAGUUAGAGUAGUAGUUCUAUCUAUAUUGCAUAUCUGUUUACUGGUGGUCGGUUGGUGCAUUCCGUAUCUGCUUGACCUGUGGUCGGUUGUUGCAUCCGUAUCUGUUGACCUGGGCAAUUGCCGUCAGUGUUCCUAUUCUCGCUAAUUCUAGUCAAUGCGAAUCGCAGAACCGUAUUUGUGUCGAGGAUUAGGAGCUCUUCGUGGACUUGGGUCCGAGGCCAAACACGAUCAACUUUACAUACCUCAUCAUAAUGUCUUCGAUGCUAAGUAGCCUUUUGAUCGUGCGGUGUCGGCGUUUACAUCGUCCACGCCCUCUCACUGGCUGUCGGUCGCUAGGAGAUCCGGCAUCGGCUUUUUGUCGGUUUUUGUUUGAGCACUUAUCACACAGACUAUUGAGGACUGUCUUAGUGCAUUUUAGAGCAGUUGGGAGUAUCACAAGCCACCGAGGUCGGUCUUUGGGACAACUCACUGAAACGCGGGUUAACCUAUGUGCAGAUCAACUGUCAGAACUUCUGUACUUAUCCAGCCGGGAAGCUGUAGACGCGAGCUACGCCUGGGGGGGCGGCGUGAAUCAGGUCGGUCAAGUUAGUGACAGCCGCCCGCGCUUGAGGGUCUGAAACCCCAGGUUCUUUACAUCGCGGACCAAUAUACAGGGUGGAGCCAGAUUGGAUUAUAUAUCGAAACUAUAUUCGUAUAGUGAUUCGGUUGACGUUCACCGAUUCUAAAAAUUGAAAGAUAAUGAGUAAGCUCGCAGUGUUGCAUCGUCAUACAUAUACCUGUAUCACUAUUCUCCAGGAUGUAUAGUUAUUUGUUUGCAUGUAGACAUUCAGUGCUGUUUAUCUACAUUAGCGUAGUUUGUACUUUCAUUAUAUAUAGCUGCUUUCGUCAUUUUAUUGCUACUGUAUUUUCACUGAACGCCGUACUGCUUGUUUAAAGCUCUUCCUGAUUCCGGUGAGUAUCCUCGCUUCUUCGGCUGCUCACGUACCCACUGGGUGGGCGAGACAUGUUUACAUGUUCUCAUCGUCCCGCCCACUAUAUUUUUCAGGUAUCAGUACGGCGCAUGAGCGAUUGAGAUGAGGACGUGAGAUACGUAACGUAGCGGUCGAUAGAUGCUUCCGACCAGGGUUAUUACCAGGUUAUCAGUUUCUUACCCUAUAUUCUGUUGAUACAGCUUAUUAUAGUUUAUAUGGUUCCAGUAUAUUUACAUUUGAUAAAUAGUUUUCUAUGUAAUGUAAUAAAAUGGAUUUGUGGAUUUUGUGAAUUGAAAAAUAGUUUUUCUACCCCUCGUGGGUAGCGCGUUUUAAAAGAAAAAAUUUCGUGCUGUCAGGACCUGUCGUGAUAGAUCUCUACCCUGAAAUAGGACUACAGAACAAUCCUUUCAUCCGGGACAGCAGCUCUUCAAAGGUUUUUCGUAUUUUACAAUUAAACUUAGUAUUUCAAAAACCCGUUUUGAGUUGGACAACGUGUAUUAACUGGAUAGUUUGAUUUUUAUGUUCAAGCAUUAAAUGAAUGUUUGAACUUCUAUGUUGAAAUGAGACCGAAACACCUGCGGGAAUAUCGGUGUAAUGAGAAUAUAUAUUAUAGAUCGUUGGGCAUGUCCUGUAUAUUUAGUGUAGUUGGUGCGUUAUCCUGGUUUGCUACUUGUACUUGUGCGACGCCGUGCAAAUACAGAGGAGACUCUGUCCGGGUGUUGGUGGUUUACGGACCAAUGCGAGAGUGCUUGGCAAGAUCCGUUCUUAAACUGUAUUAUUUAAUACCUGUUAAUCAAAACAGCUUUACUUAGUAUAUACGAUUUAGCCGUAAUUCCUGUCUGGGAUGGGAUAACUAAGAAUUAGAAAAAAAUUAUCAUUAAACAAUUUUAUUAGAUCCCAGGUGACAGUGGCACUUCACCUGUAUUUAAGGGCGGAUUCUUGCAUACCGCCGGUGGCGCUCAAGGUUUUUUUUGUAAUAAUCAAAAAUUUCUGAGCUGCUUCUUUAACCUAUAUAAAGAAGACGAUCGUCCGCGAGGCAGAAGUGACAUAUUUGUGUUUAGUUCGCACUAUUUAUCAGUUUCUGUAGUAGAGAGUGGUAGAUAAGUACGGCUAGUUUAAGCAGUUUGAAGCUACAUCUGGGAGUUGAAAGAAGUUAAUUCUUAAAGAUUUCCAGAUUUCUAAAAGACCGUACUUCGAAAUGCAAAAUUUCUGGAGGGGCCCUUGCUUUGCAGGUUGAGUUUUUACAUCUCAGGUAGUAGUGCUUUAGAGAGGAAGUUUUACUCCAAAGCAAUUCCUCAAACCACUAGUAUAAUGGGUGGGAAUGGCCUAUAUAUUAUGCGCUAUGCAGGAUUUUCUUUUAUGAUGCGAGGUUUUCGCUCCUAUGAUUUGUUCGUGUUUUGAUAGUACUAUUUAAGGCUUACGAUAUGCGGUGAUUUUGCUCUUAUUUUUGAGACCAUGAAUACUCGGCCAUCAUUUCAAUUUACUACAUAGUUCUCGUAUCUAGAGAUCGCUUGCCCAAUGGAUAAGGAUGUGGUUGAGCAAAGAUAUGUUGAUGCUGCUCAUCUGUUUGUAGCAGAUUUCGUUGUAAAUUUUCAUAAGCUUCAGCAUUAGUUUAGUCAUACUGUUGCUACUUGCAUUCAUUAAUAAUAUAUUUGGAUCAUUAUAGUACUUUUAUAUCUUAACGACUUUGGUUUAAGAUCAGACAUGUGAUAAAUCUGAGUGACACUUUUUGAUGUCUAAACUGUGAAAUCCAAAUAUUUUUCCAAACUUUUUUUUGAUUGUCGUGGGCUACCAUUUGCAUACUUUGAUGAGACAACAGAUCAACACUGUAAUGAGGUUCAUCAGCUAAUCUUUCCGAAAGUAAGAAUGUUUUCAGGUAAUUAUUCGUUUAAAUAAAUUUUUUGUCUUAAUUUUUGUUAUAGGAAUAGGAUAGCCACUAUUGAAAUUGAUCUAAAGCUGUAGAAAGCAAUACAAAUGUUCCGCAGAAAUUCAUAUGAUAUAAAAUGUAAGAUAAGUCAAGUGAAUUUAACAAUCUAUCUUCCUUAUUUUGGUAAAAGAUCGGCCCCAGUAUUGCUCGUGUGUUUUCUCUUUCAUUACGGUAUUUUUUUAUGUGAUUAUGUUGAGAAAUCAACUCAUAGUUCUCCUAAAUACAGGAUUUUAUUGCCUAGCCAAAGUGGGAAGAAGCUGCAGUUAAACCAAUUUACAAAUGGACUCAU
rnacentral:lncRNA from 1 species